GACGAACGCUGGCGGCGUGCUUAACACAUGCAAGUCGAACGAAGCUUGAUUACGGAUUCUUCGGAUGAAGUAUGAUAUGACUGAGUGGCGGACGGGUGAGUAACGCGUGAGUAACCUGCCCUUCAGAGGGGGAUAGCGUUUGGAAACGAACGGUAUUACCGCAUAAUGUAUUUUGACCGCAUGAUCGAAAUACCAAAGAUUUAUCGCUGAAGGAUGGACUCGCGUCUGAUUAGGUAGUUGGUGGGGUAACGGCCUACCAAGCCGACGAUCAGUAGCCGGACUGAGAGGUUGAUCGGCCACAUUGGGACUGAGACACGGCCCAGACUCCUACGGGAGGCAGCAGUGGGGAAUAUUGCACAAUGGGCGCAAGCCUGAUGCAGCAACGCCGCGUGAAGGAAGACGGUUUUCGGAUUGUAAACUUCUGUUCUUAGUGAAGAAUAAUGACGGUAGCUAAGGAGCAAGCCACGGCUAACUACGUGCCAGCAGCCGUAC
rnacentral:rRNA from 1 species